AGCUUUGCGCAGUGGCAGUAUCAUAGCCAAUGAGGUUUAUCUGAGGCGGGAUUAUUGCUAACUGAAAAAAAAAUGCUAUUUUGAUGGCCAUUUCCCAUGUAGACUAUUAUACUCCUCUUGGGCAAUGGCCUUAAUGUUUCCAAAUAAUUUUG
rnacentral:snRNA from 1 species